ensembl:misc_RNA Y_RNA Y RNA
AGUUGGUCCAAUGGUAGUGGAUUAUCAGAGCUUAUUAACAUUAGGGUCACUAAAAUUGCUUUUCAUGCCCCACUGCUAAUUUUAACUGCCUUUAA